UCACAAGGACAAACACCUGAUACGCGGUCGGCUGCUUACACAUGCAAGUUGAACGGGUUUAAGUUUAUUAACCUUAAACAUGUAGCGGACGGGUGAGUAACGCGUAAGAACCUACCUUUAGGUAAGGAAUAACUAUUGGAAACGAUAGAUAAUACCUUAUAAGCUUAUAGUAAAAGAUAAAAUCGCCUAAGGAUGGGCUUGCGUCUGAUUAGCUUGUUGGUGAUUUAAAAGAUUCACCAAGGCAACGAUCAGUAGUUGGUCUAAGAGGAUGAUCAACCACACUGGGACUGAGACACAGCCCAGACCUCUACGGAGGGCAGCAGUGAGGAAUUUUCCGCAAUGGGCGAAAGCCUGACGGAGCAAUGCCGCGUGGAGGAUGAAAGCUUGUGAGUCGUAAACUCCUUUUCUUAGUGAAGAAAUAAGACGGUAUCUAAGGAAUAAGCAUCGGCUAACUCCGUGCCAGCAGCCGCGGUAAUACGGAGGAUGCAAGCGUUAUUCGGAAUUAUUGGGCGUAAAGCGUCUGUAGGUGGUAUUCAAAGUCUACUGAUAAAUUUACAGCUUAACCUUAAAACAGCGGUCUGAACCUAAAAACUUGAUUUACGUAAGGUAGAGGGAAUUCUCGGUGUAGUGGUGAAAUGCGUAAAGAUCGAGAAGACACCCGGUUACCAAAAGCGCUCCUAAGGGGCAUAACACUGUAACUGAAGAGACAAAACAUAGGGGACCAC
rnacentral:rRNA from 1 species